GCGGCAUUCGAACCCAUAACCUUCCGACUCGCAGGCCCGGGCUCCGUCCACUACGUCACGCUGCUUCUGAUGUCCUAGUCUGAGGCUUACGGGCCCCGAAGGUGACCCUGCGAGGAAACCCUGCCACAGGUGGAGAGGGCCACUCCCCUGCCUCUGAGUCCCAGACAUCGCCCCGGCCCAGCCCGUCAGGGCUCUUGGCUCCGGCGGGGAAGCGUUGAAGUGACCGAGGCACCGUUGAGGAAACCCAGAGAAGUGAA